ACAGCAGCAGCCGCGGUAAUACAGAGGGUGCGAGCGUUAAUCGGAUUUACUGGGCGUAAAGCGUGCGUAGGCGGCUUUUUAAGUCGGAUGUGAAAUCCCUGAGCUUAACUUAGGAAUUGCAUUCGAUACUGGGAAGCUAGAGUAUGGGAGAGGAUGGUAGAAUUCCAGGUGUAGCGGUGAAAUGCGUAGAGAUCUGGAGGAAUACCGAUGGCGAAGGCAGCCAUCUGGCCUAAUACUGACGCUGAGGUACGAAAGCAUGGGGAGCAAACAGGAUUAAAUACCCCCGUAGUCCCUGUCUCUUAUAC
rnacentral:rRNA from 1 species